rnacentral:rRNA from 1 species
AGGACGAACGCUGGCGGCGUGCCUAAUACAUGCAAGUCGAACGGUCUUUCUAUGGAAGCUUGCUUCCACUGAGAAGAUAGUGGCGAACGGGUGAGUAACACGUGGGUAACCUGCCCAUAAGAGGGGGAUAACAUCCGGAAACGGGUGCUAAUACCGCAUAGUUUUCUUGAUCGCAUGAUUGAGAAAGGAAAGACGGCCUUUGUGCUGUCGCUUAUGGAUGGACCCGCGGCGUAUUAGUUAGUUGGUGAGGUAACGGCUCACCAAGACGAUGAUACGUAGCCGACCUGAGAGGGUGAUCGGCCACAUUGGGACUGAGACACGGCCCAAACUCCUACGGGAGGCAGCAGUAGGGAAUCUUCCGCAAUGGACGAAAGUCUGACGGAGCAACGCCGCGUGAGUGAAGAAAAGGUUUUCGGAUCGUAAAACUCUGUUGUCAGAGAAGAACAAGUUGGAGAGUAACUGCUCCAGCCUUGACGGUAUCUGACCAGAAAGCCACGGCUAACUACGUGCCAGCAGCCGC